rnacentral:misc_RNA from 1 species
AAAGUCGUAACAAGGUCUCCGUUGGUGAACCAGCGGAGGGAUCAUUACCGAGUUUACAACUCCCAAACCCCAUGUGAACCUUACCUACACGUUGCUUCGGCGGCCACGCCCCGGCGCCCCAGUGCCCGGAACCAGGCGCCCGCCGGAGGACCCCCAAACCAUUGCUGUUUCUAGUGGCAUUGUCUGAGUGGCGUAAAGCAAAUCAAUCAAAACUUUCAACAACGGAUCUCUUGGUUCUG